AUACAGAGGGUGCAAGCGUUAAUCGGAAUUACUGGGCGUAAAGCGCGCGUAGGCGGUUUAAUCAGUCGGAUGUGAAAGCCCCGGGCUCAACCUGGGAACUGCAUUCGAUACUGUUAAGCUAGAGUAUGGUAGAGGGAAGUGGAAUUCCAGGUGUAGCGGUGAAAUGCGUAGAUAUCUGGAGGAACAUCAGUGGCGAAGGCGACUUCCUGGACCAAUACUGACGCUGAGGUGCGAAAGCGUGGGGAGCAAACAGAAUUAGAAACCCUAGUAGUCC
rnacentral:rRNA from 1 species